UACGAAGGGGGCAAGCGUUGUUCGGAAUUACUGGGCGUAAAGGGCGCGUAGGCGGCUUAUCAAGUCAGGCGUGAAAUUCCCGGGCUCAACCUGGGGGCUGCGCUUGAUACUGAUUGGCUUGAAUGCGGGAGAGGAUAGUGGAAUUCCCAGUGUAGAGGUGAAAUUCGUAGAUAUUGGGAAGAACACCGGUGGCGAAGGCGGCUAUCUGGCCCGUAAUUGACGCUGAGGCGCGAAAGCGUGGGGAGCAAACAGGAGUUAA
rnacentral:rRNA from 1 species